GUGCAGUGGAAAGAGAAGCGAAUGGAUAGAUAGAAAGGGGUGUGGAGAGGAGACAUAAGAGAAUGAUAGAUAGAAAGGGGGUGUGGAGAGGAGACAUAAGAUAAUGAUAGAUAGAGGGGGGGGUGUGGAGAGGAGACAUAAGAGAAUGAUAGAUAGAGGGGGGGGUGUGGAGAGGAGACAGAAGAGAAUGAUAGAUAGAGGGGGGGUGUGGAGAGGAGACAUAAGAGAAUGAUAGAUAGAGAGGGGGUGUGGAGAGGAGACAGAAGAGAAUGAUAGAUAGAGAGGGGGUGUGGAGAGGAGACAGAAGAGAAUGAUAGAUAGAGAGGGGGUGUGGAGAGGAGACAUAAGAGAAUGAUAGAUAGAGAGGGGGUGUGGAGAGGAGACAUAAGAGAAUGAUAGAUAGAGAGGGGGUGUGGAGAGGAGACAGAAGAGAAUGAUAGAGAGGGGGUGUGGAGAGGAGACAUAAGAGAAUGAUAGAUAGAGAGGGGGUGUGGAGAGGAGACAUAAGAGAAUGAUAGAUAGAGAGGGGGUGUGGAGAGGAGACAUAAGAGAAUGAUAGAUAGAGAGGGGUGUGGAGAGGAGACAUAAGAGAAUGAUAGAUAGAGAGGGGGUGUGGAGAGGAGACAUAAGAGAAUGAUAGAUAGAGAGGGGGUGUGGAGAGGAGACAGAAGAGAAUGAUAGAUAGAGAGGGGGUGUGGAGAGGAGACAGAAGAGAAUGAUAGAUAGAGAGGGGGUGUGGAGAGGAGACAUAAGAGAAUGAUAGAUAGAGAGGGGGUGUGGAGAGGAGACAUAAGAGAAUGAUAGAUAGAGAGGG
ensembl:lncRNA